ACUGGAGUUUGAUCCUGGCUCAGGAUGAACGCUAGCGGCAUGCCUAACACAUGCAAGUCGAACGAGACCUUCGGGUCUAGUGGCGCACGGGUGCGUAACGCGUGGGAACCUGCCUUAGGUUCGGAAUAACUCAGAGAAAUUUGAGUUAAUACCGGAUAAUGUCUUCGGACCAAAGAUUUAUCGCCUUUAGAUGGGCCCGCGUUGGAUUAGCUAGUUGGUGGGGUAAAGGCCUACCAAGGCGACGAUCCAUAGCUGGUCUGAGAGGAUGAUCAGCCACACUGGGACUGAGACCACGGCCCAGACUCCUACGGGGAGGCAGCAGUGGGGAAUAUUGGACAAUGGGCGAAAGCCUGAUCCAGCAAUGCCGCGUGAGUGAUGAAGGCCCUUAGGGUUGUAAAGCUCUUUUAACCCGAGAUGAUAAUGACAGUAUCGGGAGAAUAACGCUCCGGCUAACUCCGUGCCAGCAGCCGCGGU
rnacentral:rRNA from 1 species